GUGAUCGCUGGCGGCGUGCUAACACAUGCAAGUCGAACGGAGUAUUAAGAAGUUUUCGGACGGAUUAAUACUUAGUGGCGGACGGGUGAGUAACGCGUGGGUAACCUGCCUCAUACAGGGGGAUAACAGCUGGAAACGGCUGCUAACACCGCAUAGUAUAAGAUGGUCGCAUGACUGACUUAUGAAAUAUUUAUAGGUAUGAGAUGGGCCCGCGUCUGAUUAGCUAGUUGGUGAGGUAAUGGCUCACCAAGGCGACGAUCAGUAGCCGGCUUGAGAGAGUGACCGGCCACAUUGGGACUGAGACACGGCCCAAACUCCUACGGGAGGCAGCAGUGGGGAAUAUUGCGCAAUGGGGGAAACCCUGACGCAGCAACGCCGCGUGGGUGAUGAAGGUCUUCGGAUUGUAAAGCCCUGUUUUCUGGGACGAUAAUGACGGUACUUGAGGAGGAAGCCCCGGCUAACUACGUGCCAGCAGCCGCGGUAAUACGUAGGGGGCUAGCGUUAUCCGGAUUUACUGGGCGUAAAGGGUGCGUAGGUGGUUUUUUAAGUCAGGAGUGAAAGGCUACGGCUCAACCGUAGUAAGCUCUUGAAACUGGAAAACUUGAGUGCAGGAGAGGAAAGUGGAAUUCCUAGUGUAGCGGUGAAAUGCGUAGAUAUUAGGAGGAACACCAGUAGCGAAGGCGGCUUUCUGGACUGUAACUGACACUGAGGCACGAAAGCGUGGGGAGCAAACAGGAUUAGAUACCCUGGUAGUCCACGCCGUAAACGAU
rnacentral:rRNA from 1 species